UACAGAGGGUGCAAGCGUUGUUCGGAAUUAUUGGGCGUAAAGCGCGCGUAGGCGGCUUUGCAAGUCGGGUGUGAAAGCCCUCAGCUCAACUGAGGAACUGCAUUCGAGACUGCAUUGCUAGAGUAUGGGAGAGGGAAGUGGAAUUUCCGGUGUAGCGGUGAAAUGCGCAGAUAUCAGGAGGAACACCAAUUGCGAAGGCAGCUCGCUGGGACGUUACUGACGCUGAGACGCGAAAGCGUGGGGAGCAAACAGG
rnacentral:rRNA from 1 species